GAUGAACGCUGGCGGCGUGCCUAAUACAUGCAAGUCGAGCGAACGGACGAGAAGCUUGCUUCUCUGGUGUUAGCGGCGGACGGGUGAGUAACACGUGGAUAACCUACCUAUAAGACUGGGAUAACUUCGGGAAACCGGAGCUAAUACCGGAUAAUAUUUUGAACCGCAUGGUUCAAAAGUGAAAGACGGUCUUGCUGUCACUUAUAGAUGGAUCCGCGCUGCAUUAGCUAGUUGGUAAGGUAACGGCUUACCAAGGCAACGAUGCAUAGCCGACCUGAGAGGGUGAUCGGCCACACUGGAACUGAGACACGGUCCAGACUCCUACGGGAGGCAGCAGUAGGGAAUCUUCCGCAAUGGGCGAAAGCCUGACGGAGCAACGCCGCGUGAGUGAUGAAGGUCUUCCGAUCGUAAAACUCUGUUAUUAGGGAAGAACAUAUGUGUAAGUAACUGUGCACAUCUUGACGGUACCUAAUCAGAAAGCCACGGCUAACUACGUG
rnacentral:rRNA from 1 species